AAGACAACUCUGUUUGGGAGAUUGGGAAUGCGAGUGCGAGAGGGUUAGUCUAUUAGAUAAGGCCAACGUCAAGUUUGGUCAAAGGUCACGAGAUGUAAACACAGCUAGCGCUAAUCCCAACCCUGACCCUAAGGCUUACCCUAACCCUAACCUACAAUCUCGCCAACAAUCACGUGCUCUAACACCUUAUUGAAAUCUCAGCGACCUUGACGGAAAUUGAGUUGGCCUUAACAAAUAGAUCAAGCUGUUGAGAGAUUGUUCAAGGAAGUAAAUUAUUCAAUUUUUACGCAAUAGAGAAUAGAGAAUUGUUUAUAGACAUCAGUUUAAUUGUCAUCAUGUAAACCAUUUGGAAUAUUACGUGAUGGGUUAUGUGUUUUCAUUGAUUGGGGUUUAUAGUGCAACCAUUUAGUAUUAUUGAUAACUGGACAUGUGAUUAGCAGGAAACAUGUUAAGAAAUUACUGUUUCUUGUUCCUGUUUACUAUUCUAUCCCAUGGCCAGGAUGCAGAUGCAGAUGCUACUUUAUGUUUGUUCGAUACUAGUAAAUGCAUUGGUGAAUUAAAACCUGACAAUCCAUUUGUUUACAUUGGUGAUGAGUUGGUGUUGAAUUGUUCUUUAAAUACCCCUCAAGAUGGUUCUUACAAUGCAUUGGAUCUACGAUUCACACAUCAUGAUGAUAUAGAUGUGGCGGAGGAAGACAUUCAUAUACUCAGUGAAUAUUUAGCUCAGCUAAGAUUAACAAUAACAAGCCCCAAGAAUAAAAGUCAUUAUAUGUGCAUCCUUAAUAAUCAAAUUGUGGGAGUUCAAGAUUUAUCUCUAGAAUAUCGUCCACGACCAGUUGAGAAUGUGAGCUGUGUGGUUGCUAAUUGGGACACUAUGACAUGUAAUUGGCAACUAGGACCCUAUGUUAAAGUGGAAGAUAUUAAUAUUUUACCAUACUGGUGGGUUCAAUCGGGAAAUGGAUAUUAUACAUGUGAUCGUUCAAGCCAAACUUCAUGUUUUUUUAAUGCUAGUAGUUACAAUGAAGGAAACAUGUACACUAUGAUGAUAGAAGUUAGUUAUAAACCAAAAAAUCGAGAAAUGUAUAUUACUAACGGGAAUUACACAAUCUAUGCUGAUCAACUAGUAAAACCAGAUCCUGUAGCUGAUCUGACAGCUAAUGCAGUCAACUCCACAUGCUUACAUUUAACCUGGUCACAUUCUAGAAGUGAAAAAAAUCUAAAAUAUAGAUUAAGAUAUUAUUCUCAGUGGGAUAAAGAAACUGAGAUAUUGUUAAAUCCUGGACGAUCCUUGAAACAUACAGUUUGUGGUCUUCAUCCUAAUACAUUAUAUAAUUUCACCGUGGCAGCACAUCCUAGAACACAAGGUUUUUGGAGUGAGACAGUUCACACAAGUACAACUACAUUAGAAGAUGUGCCAAGUUUUGGUCCAGCAACAACUAAUGGUGGUUAUUUUGAGUACCCGUGUGAGUAUGGACAUAGGAAGAUUGAUAUAUUUUUUAAGCAUGUUGCCAAAGAGAAUGAAAAUGGUGUCAUUAUUGAAUAUGGGGCUGAUGUCAGAAUGACUUCGACUGACGUAGAAAAUUUUGUAGCUGCAGCAGACUCAAACAAGAUCACUGUUCGUCUUCCGUGUCAUGUCGGUUAUUACGUCGAUUUGUAUGCUCGUACAAAGAUUGGAAAAUCUAAAAACAACACAAAAAUCUUUUUACGAGCAAUAAGAACAGUUACAGCAAAUGUUCAACUACAUAUUGUUAUAUCUAAUGAUACUGGUGCUGGUAAUCAAGUUAAAGCUGUAUGGAGGAAUACAUCACCUACUCUUAAACCAGUUUAUAUCUACUGGUGUCAAAGUGCAUUAACUAAUGUUUGUCAGGGAGAUUUAAAUUGGUUACCAAUUGAAGAUGAUGAUACUGACAUGAUAUUACCUGUUUCUGUGAAUGAAACUGAAGCUAAAGAAUAUAUAUUUGCCAUUUCUUUCAUGGUCGGUAACAGUCCUAGUUCGAUGAUAUUUUCAGAGUGUAUCUACAGGAGAUAUUCUGUUCCUGCGGACCCUCCUGAAGGAUUCCAACUAGAUAAAGAGAAUCCUGAUUUAUCUUUAGGACUAAGUUGGUCAUCUAAACAAUGUGAUCAUCAAUCAUUGAUAUACAUCGACAAUUAUAAUGUUCACUAUUGUCCAACUGAUAAACAAGGUGGCUGUUCAAAACAACAGCAGACAGUAAAAGUUUACAGCAGUCAUAGCCGAUAUCAAUUAAAUGAUCUAAAAGCAGAUGUAAACUACAGUGUGUGGCUUCAAGCUGAAUCAUCUGGUGAACUAGGACCAGAAAGUCUUCAUCUAUAUGCGAUACCAACUGACUCAAGAUUAUCUACAGUUGCUAUAGUAGUUAUAUGUAUUGUGUUGAUUAUCGUCGUAGCUGUAGCUGCAGUCGGAGUGUAUUUCAUAGUCGUUAGGAGAUGUAAAAAACUUAUUCAACCAUAUAAAAUUAGAGCUGACCUUGAAAAACACAAUUUUAUUUCAUCAUCAGGUGAUUUUAUACCUAACAACUCCAAUAAUAAUACUUUAUCAACAGGUAAUCAGAAUGAUGAUGUCGAAGUGGCAGAAAGGAAUUUCAAUAAUGAUAAGAGUAAAUUACCAGGUAGUACAGGUGGUACAGGUAGUAGUAAAUCUGACACUACAACAGAGAUGGAUUAUCAGAAAAUAACAUUUGAAAGCUCAGGUGAAACUGAUGAUGGUACAGAAAAAAAUACUGUAGUUAGUCAAGUGGCCAUUGAUCAGAAUCCAUUUCCAGUAUUUACACAUAAUAAUGAAAUCACACGAACGGAUAAAAUCGAUAGCACUAGGAAUGGUCGACUUAAUGGAAUUAAAAAUAAUGGUUAUUUUACACCAGAAGAAAUCCAAAUGAAACAGUUAUCUCCAGCUCCUGAUAUUACGUCCCGUACAGAUGAAUCGAGGAGAUCGAAUCUGGAUUAUUUUCAAGUAGCCAUGAAGAACUCAGCAGACAAUGACGAUAGUAUUGGUGAUCAUAAGAUAGAAGAUGAAGUUUCUGGUGAUCAUAAUAUAGAAGAUGAGGUUUCUGAUCAUAAUAUAGAAGAUGAGGUUUCUGGUGAUCAUAAAAUAGGAGAUGAUGCUUCUGGUGAUCAUAAGAUAGAAGAUGAAGUUUCUGGUGAUCAUAAUAUAGAAGAUGAGGUUUCUGAUCAUAAUAUAGAAGAUGAGGUUUCUGGUGAUCAUAAGCUGUUGACAGAUCCUGAAAAUCAUGGUAAAGUACAAAUACCAAUUGCUCAAGAAAAUCAUGGUCAAGCAUUAAGUGCACAAAUACCAAUUGCUCCACCAGUUAGAAAGUCCAAUGAUGGUUACUGCACUCAUGAAGAAUUACAGAAGAAAAUAGGAAAUCCACUGCCAGAUAAUCGUAAUCCGUCUGGAAAUGGUUCAAACAUUAAUCAAAAUUUCACAAAAUCACCAAAUAAAGAGGAAAGUAUGGAAUUGAGAGACAAAAGGUUAGAAUCUGAUUCUAGCGAGGAAAGUAUGGAAUCGAGAGACAAAAAAAUAACCCUUCCAAAUAUGGAGAACCUCAAUGAUAACAGAUUGGAUGAAGUUAACAAUGAUGAAAUUGUUCAAAUAGAAUUAGACAAUGUAAAUAAUAAUUUUGUACAAAAUAACGAAACACCUAAUUUGAUGAAUGGUUCACCUUUUAGAAUGACCACAAAUGAUGAUUAUGUAACACAACAAAAUAUUUCACAAAUGACAAAUUAUGAGUUAGAUACUCAUAAUCCCAACAACGACCAAAAUCAAAAUCCGCUAAUAUCCAAUUCCUCGGAAUAUGUAACCAAUGAAGAAUUAUUAAGAAAACAAAAUGAAGGCCUUCCUAAAAGUUAAAAAAAACUUGGAUUAUGUUACAAUUGAUAAUAUUUAAAACAUUUCACACAAUUUAUUGUUCCCUGUCCCCCCGUCUCUCGAAGAAAUCAGGGGACUAUUAAAAUAGGUCUGCUCGCCUGUCGAUCCGUCUCUCUGUCCGUCACACUUUUUGGAACACAAUAAUUCUCCUAAUUGAGCUACAAUGUUAAUUGCACAUUUUUCACCAAGCAGUUUGAUUGGUUGAGACUUUGGAACAUGAUAACUUUGAUUUUAAUUGAGUGAGAGCGAUGAAACUCUAGGUAUAGAUUGAUUAUAUCAAUACAUUGACUAAGUUCGAUGAUGAGAAUUUUUCUGUAUAGGCUAAGUAGUGAUAAGUAAUAUAAUUGGUAAAGACUUUGGAACAUAAUAACUCUGCUUUUAAUGGAGGUGAUCGUUAGCUAAAUGGAGGGGUUGGAUGGCCGAAUGGUUAUGACGUGCGUGCUGUAUUAUAAGGCCUGUCAUUGAGUCAACUGGCCUGGUUUCGAAUCCCCGGUUGUACAUGACAAGGUGUAGGGUCGCCUUCCCAACCUCGUGGGUUUUCUCCGGGUCCUUCGGUUUGCUCCCACUGCUAAAGACCCCUAUGCGCAAGCGAAUUAUUGAAAUAAAAUUAAACCAUAUGUUAGUCCCGAAAUGAAUUAGUUUGGGACGAGUGGACGUUAAACCCUCUCUCUCUCUCUCUCUCCCUCUCUCUCUCUCUCUCUCUCUCACAUAAGGUAAAUGUCUUAACUGAGUUCAAUGAUUAACAUUUCCCAAGAAAGCUAAGCAGAGCUAAGCAAUUUCAUUGGUUGAUGUUUUGGGACAAGAUAACUUUGAUUCUAACUGAUGGAGAGUGAUGAAACGUAGUGUAUAGUUUUACUACCAGGUACUUCAAAACCUUGACUGAUUUUGAUCUUGGACAUUUUAUGCUUAUUAGACUAAGAAAAGAUAAUCAGUUUGAUUGCUCGAUACUUUUGAUAAAGAUAAAUGUCCAAUUAAUUAAUAGGUGUCAUCUAUUUAUUUUGGGAUUUUGGCGGGGGGACAUCAGCCUAACUGUUGGCUUGUUUUCAUAUCCAUGUCUCCAAUUAUAUUUGAUUGUUUUCAUUAUGGGAAUCAUCAUAACUUUCUUUCUUAGCCUGUUAGGCUCACUACUUUCCAUUGUAAAGAUAUUCGCCUAAAUUACUGGAUAGAUUUCAAUCAAAUUCAGUAGGGAUGUUGCCAUGAGGGCUCCCUCCAUGAACCCCUUAACAGCAAACGUCCUCAUCUAAUCUUCUUUCAAUUUAUGUUCUUUCUUUCGUCAAUUGCAGUGAAUCAAAAUUAUAAUAAUCUCUUGAGUCUUAUUCAUAGAAUUAUUGCCUUUGAUUAUGUCAAAGAAUCCUGCAACGUGCAGAUUUUGCUUUAUUUAAAGGUCGACAGUUACUUAUUUAACUUCUGUUGUGAUCGUAGGCUUUCAUUUUGCCCACAAAGCACAGAUUGGCGAAUUAUUUUAGACCUGGGGAUCACGUGGCUAAGUGGGCAAGACGCUGGCUCGCUAGCCUGGAGGUCGGGUGUUCAAUACCUGCAUUGGCCGAGAAAGUUCAUCCAGAUUUUCCAGCGUGGUUUCCCCUUGUCAGUGAUGCAGGAUGGAGGGCCUGACAAGGACUGCUGUCUAGUCGUUCGGAUGGGACGAAAAACCGAGGUCCCGUGUACACAUUGGUGUGCACGUAAAAGAUCCCUUGGCAGUUGGAAUUCGAUAUAAGAGUAGGCAGUAGUGCCGCUGCCCAGGAAAAAUAUCCCUCAUAGCACACUGUAUGGUGUAUGCCCGUCUUCAUUAGCCAAGUUUAGGAGCAGAACAGUAGGACGUUAAACCCCAUUUCAUUUAUUUUUUUAAGACCUUCACUGAUAAAUGGGGUAUUAUAAGAUGGUUGACUAUAGCUGUAAAUACGGUAUUAUAACAUUGUUAAAAAUGUUAAAAUUACAACUUUUAACAAAGUCACAAAAUCUUGGAAUUGUCUGAAUAGUUAGUACCAACAGACGGUCAUGAAGAUAUUUAGUCAUUUGGUAAUUAUAAAUAUACCGGUAUGCAAAUGUCAAAACUUUAUCGGCAUGUUAAUAUACGCCAAGUUCACUAAAAUAUCAGGAAUUUUAAUGUGUUAAAGUUUAUAAAAUGUUUUAGUUAAGUCUUGUGCUACAAGUUUAUAAAAUGUUUUAGUUAAGUCUUGUGCUACCGGUAUAUAUAUGUUUAAGUUAAGUUUUGUGCUUUUUAUAUGUUGGUACAUUAGAAUUAUAUUAGGUCUGAAAUUAAGAUAUUAAUGAUAGUGAUCUGAUAUUGAGAUAUUAAUGAUAAUAUAUACAUGUAUAAAUAUACUACUGGCAAUUUUAUCAGUAUAUAAGGAUUUUAAAGGGACUAUCCCGAUUUGAACAGAGUCUCAAAAUUAAAGUCUGAGUACGUAUGAAAUUUAAGUGCCAAAUUUUAGAGGAAUGGUGUUUUUACCUUGUCUCAAAAUUUCAGCUCAAAAUAUUGAGUCGGUUGGACGUGAACGUCAAAACUGCUUAUCCAGACACGUAACCCUUUUAAGAUUUCAGGUCAAUUUUUUUGUUGGGUGACCCGAUAAUCGAUUCCCAUUCCUUUAGAGGUCUAUAGAAUGAAUGACCCAUGAGCUGUACUUGAUAACGAAUGGUAAAUUCCACUUACACAUUAUUUUUAUAAAAUAAAAGUCUGGUUUUAUCCAGACACCGCAUAAUACAGCUUGAGACACCGGUCUCCAUUUCCAGAUGAAGACUGGUGGGUUUAAGUUGAUUGAAAACGUAUAACGUGUAUUGAGUUAGUUGCUCUAAGGUAGAGGAUUUUAAGGGGUUGUAACACAAAAUUAAGCAGUUUUAUUCUCAAAAAUAUAAUCAGGAUUGGCCCUUCAAAUGAAAUUGUGUGUGUUCAAUCCCUGCGUUGGCCGAGAAAGUUCUUUGUGAUUUUCCGGUGUGGUUCCUCCUUGUCAUUGGUGUAGGAUGGAGGACCUGGCAGGGGACAAGUUAUACCGUGUACGCAUUGCCGUGCACGUAAAAGAACCCUUGACAGUUGGAAUUCGAUAUAAGAGUAGGCCGUAGUGCCGCUGUCCGGGCAAAAUUUCCCUCAUAGCAUACUGUAUGGUGUAUACCCGUCUUCAUUAGCCCAGUAGGAGUAGGACAGUAGGACGUUAAACCCCAUUUCAUUUAAAAGAAAUUAAAGCAGACUGAUAUAAAUUCUGUCUUCCAUUAGUCGUAUUAACAGAUUAUUUUAAUAUUUUACUGCAUAUUAUUAUUACAUUAAUUAUUUCUAUAUUUUAUUAACAUAUAUUAAUUUUAAUAUAAAAAACGAUAUUUACUGUAUAGAUAUGAAUGUUAUUAAUGAACUUGUUUGAUAUCAUAUUGGGUAUUCUAUAUCAAUCAACUUGUUUGAUAGGGAAAGGGAUUUUACAUAGGCUAAGCUGUUCCCCAAUCCCAUUGGUAUUCUAUGUUAUAAAUUGGGUCUUCUUAUCAAUCAACUUGUUUUAUAUGAUAUGUUAUAAAUUGGUCUUCUAUAGAUAAGUGCUUCCAAAUGUAUGUAGUCCAUACAGCAUUAAAUAGCCUUUAAUUGUCCUGAGAAUUCAUUUAUUACCCUAGGCCCUGUUUCUCGAAAACUUAACUAAAGAUAAAAUCCAAAUUUUAGUAGAUACUUUAAUUUUGAUUAAAUAAGCACUAAAAUCAGUCUAAUAUUAUCCAAUCAAAUUACUAAAAUUUGGAUUUUAUCUUAGUUAAAUUUUCGUGAAACAGGCCCCUGAAACCCUAAAUUCUCAUGAAACAAAUCAUCUGUGACCCUAAAAAACCCGAAGAAUUGCCAGCUCUUAAUCUAAUCUUCCAUAAUGUAUCUUUAAGUAAAUAUAUACAUGUAAAUCAUUAUAAAUCAGAAUUUAAGAAAAUAAAUUAUUUUGAAUUGUCAUAUAUAUGGUAGUAAAAUAACCAUGUUUUAAGUCAAUGACUUCAUGUUUUGAAGCUUUUUUUUGUUCAUAGCUGAAUUGUUUACUUUUUACAAUUAGAAUCAAAAUACUUUUUAUAUACCCUUCCCUUACCCUAACCCUACUUUUUAUAUACCCUAAACCUAACCCUACUUUUUAUAUACCCAUUUAUAAACGUAUAUUCAUGUAACCUUGGUGCAACUUUCUUGUGAACACCCUACAUGUCCGAGUUAUUUUCAAAAUUUGCAGCAGUUGACUUUUAAAGCUUGCAAUCAUAAACAAUAUUUGUUUACUGUUGUAUAUUCAAAGCCCAGCUAAGGCAUUGUAGUCAGGCCCAGGGCCCCGCUCCUUAGGCAUUGUAGUCAGGCCCAGGGCCCCACUCCGGUUAAUCUGGGCUUUGUGCAUAUUAAUCAAAUUUCUAAAUUUUCAGAGUGCAAGUUCUGAUUGAGUUACCUGUCCAUUCAGAUUUCUAAUUUUAAAUCUUGUGAAGGGUUCUGAGUUCCCUACCAAAUAUCUUGUGAAGGGUUCCAAGUUCCAUACCAAAUGUUUUGUUCAUCGAUAUUAAUGUGCAUCACUUAAUUUCAGGUUUCAUUUUUUGUUUUCAUUACACAUUUUAGUGCAGUAGACACUAUACAAUAAUAAUUUGUUAAUUAAUUUUUAAUUUCAUUUAAAGUAUUUUGUAUGGUUUUUUUUUUGAUAUUAAAGGUUUUACAUAAUACUUUAAACAUUUGUUGAUAAAAUUGAAACUUGGUUUCACUAAAAAUAAAGAAUUAAAUAUCAGACUCCCCAAAAAGUCAUUUAUAUGCAACAUUCAUAUCUUUGCAAUCUGAUUAAGACACAGAUCCUAUUUCGUUUCAUUUUUUAUAGUUCAUAAUUUUCGUUGUAAUGGUCUUUACUACACUAGGGUGUGGAAGAGUUGUUAUAAUUGGCGUGUUCUGAAUGAUGUGAAGUAUUGGCCAAUGAAACGGUCAGUUACGAUGAGCUUUUGGCAUGAGGUGCACGGAACUGUUGGUAAUCCACUUGAAACAUCAAUGCUGAUUGGGGGUUUGGAUGGCUGAAUGGUUAGCAUGCACGCGCUGUAUCAUAAAGUCUGUCAUUGAGUCGACUGGCGUGGUUUCGAAUCCCCGGUUGUACGUGGCAAGGAGUAGGGUCGCCUGUCCAACCUCGUGGGUUUUCUCAGGGUCCUCCGGUUUCCUCCCACUGCUAAAGACCCCUACGCGCAAGCGAAUUGUGUAAAUAAAAUUAAACCAUAUGUAAGUCCCCAAAAUGACCUAGUUUGUGUCGAGUGGACGUUAAACCCCAUUUGGCCAUCCAACCCCCCUACUCUGUUACUACAACUACAAAGGCUGGAAAAUAGCAAGAAUAUGUCCGAUGUGUCCAAAGGAUUCAAAAUAAAAUGAACUGGGGUUUAACAUCCUACACCGACUAGGCUAAUGAAGACGGGCAUAUCGGUACACCAUACAGUGUGCUAUGAGGGAAAUUUUGCCCGGACAGCAGCUCUAUGGCCUACUCUUAUAUCGAAUUCCAAUUGCUAAGGGAUCUUUUACGUGUGCGCCAAUGUGUACACUGAACCUCAGUUUUUUUCCCACCCGAAUGACAAGGGGGGAAUCACGGGAAAAAUCCAGAUGAAAUUUCACGGUCAAUGCAGAGAUCGAACACCCAACUUCAGAGUUAGCGAGCCAACGUCUUAUUCACUUAGCCACCGUGGCUCCCCAAAGGGUUCAUUUUCCAGCAAGUAUAAUGACUGAACAACUAACAUAGUAGUCCGAGAUCUAUCAAUAUAACUGAUCCUUAAAAUGGUGUACUGAUCGAUUAUUUGUUUUAGAUCCAACCUAUUUCUUGGUCAACUGUCUAGGUCAUUUCGGGACUAACACAUGGUUCAAUUUUAUUUCAAUAAUUCGCUUGCGCGUAGGGGUCUUUAGCAGUGGGAGGAAACCGGAGGACCCGGAGAAAACCCACGAGGUUGGACAGGCAACCCUUCUCCUUGUCACGUAGGCUACAACCAGGGAACCAGUACAUGUUACAUUUCAAGCUAGAGAUAGAUACCGCGCCCCCUCCCCCAUAAUGUUCUGUUCAUCCUCCAAAUUUUAACUUUUCUUCUUUUUUUUUUAAAAGUAGGAUGAGUUGAGUAAGAGAGAGAGAGUGAGAGAGAGAGAGAGAGUGAGAGAGAGAGAGAUGGGGUUUAAAUCCACUUACACAAACUAGGUUAGUUUCAGGACAAACUAGGUUUAAUUCUAUUACAAUAAUUUGGUGCACAGAAGGGGUCUUUAGCUGCCUGAGCUCCCGCAGCUUGCUAUAUUCGUAUGAAAAGUUACUAAAUAUUUUGACAAAAAUUAUUAUUAUUAUUAUUAUUAUUAUUAUUCACCAGUGGUGGAAGAAAGCUUGCUUAAGUUUAGGCUAGAUCUAUUACUUAUAAGGCCAUCUCAAAUUUCAUCAUGGUUGCUGAGAUGUAAAUAAGGUUAGGGCACGUGAUUGUAGUCGAGAUUAGCGCUAGCCCUGUUUACAUCUCGUGACUUGACGAAAUCUGAAGUUGGCCUUAUCAAAUAGAUAUAACCGUGUGUUCAGGAAGUCAUUAUUAUAGUGUCAUGGUAUUCGAGACUAAAUUGUAAACAAGAAGCCCGCGCGGCAGCAGGUGUAUUACGUGAAUUUGUGGAAAAUAAAAGAUGUGUAAAAUCAAAGUUUAUUGACCGAUUCGUCUGAAAUUUGAUGUGUGUUCUUACAAACACGGGAAGAACUCGAACUAGGCGCACAAAGCGAUUUGUCCUUUUAUAGACUGGUUAAUAAAGUCUACAUGCAUGUUUCGAUGGUAUUUGUCUCCCUUAAACCAUAACCGGACAAGAAAUAUUUUGCAUGUUCCUGAAUUGUCUAAACAUCAAUGAAGGUGAAUUUAAAGACUAAACAUAGCUAGUUGUCAUGAGCAAGACAGCCGGGAAGUUUGUUCUGGUUGUGUUGGAGAGUUUAUCUGGAUCGGGUCAUAAAAUUAUAAAAAAACGACCGAAACUUGGAGAUAAAUUAGAAGCUGUUAUGUUUGAUCCUAUAGUACAAGAGAAUGUAUUAUUCAGAGAGAUGAAAAAACUUAAAACAUUACGACGUGGAAAAUGAGACCACAAUGUUUGAUUUUAUAAAACAAAAGAAAUGAAAUGACAUUUAAUUUUUCCUUCAGCAAGUCGUCACUUUUAUCCAAUCUGUUGUUUUGAAAACAUGUACUCUAGACCGUUGUUCGUGUGUGAGUGGGGUGGGGGUUAUAGAAUUGACAGUAGAUUGAACAUAAAUAAAAAUGUAUAAAUUUGUA